AUAGGAACACAUGUAAACCAGUGAACGACCAAUGACAGCAAAUACCAACUGUAUUUCCUCUAAGAUACAGGUACUCUGAAUAGUAUUUAUCUUUUUACACCAUGAGUUACUGAGAGGAGGAACUGUGAUUUCAUACAAUUGUCUAAGGACCUAGUCUAAUGGAGACCAGAUUAUCAUCUCAAUACUUUGUGAUCUCUGGCAUUCCUCAGUAUCAGGCUUCCUUGACGGUUACAUGGGGCUCUCCACACUUCAACUCUCCACAGUUCAAACAGGAUCUUGCCAAUACACCC